GCCAGCUCGGGCGGCAGGUCGCGGGUCGGGAAGACGUCAACACUCACCCCUGGGCCCACAGGAGGGUCCCGGCGAGGACCCCCGCCCUCUGGCUCCCGGGGCGCUCGAGUGGGCGCUCUCAGAGGUGGUUGGCUGAGAGCACGGAGGCGCCCAGGGACAGCACCGGCGGAGCGGCCCGCAGAGGGCCAGGGCAGAAGCGCGAAAGGCGCGGGCUGGCCCCUUCUGGGAGCCGUAGCGGAAGAGUGUUCGUGGUCAUGUGACGCGGAAAAGGGCGGACGCGUGGCCCACGCACUGGAACGGCUCCACGAGUCUGUCACCCAGGUUGGAGUGCGGUGGUGUGAUCUUGGCUCCCUGCAACCUCCACCUCCCAGGUUCAAGCGAUUCUCCUGCCUCAGCCUCCCAAGUAGCUGCGAUUACAGGCACCCACCACCAUGAAGAAUGGCAUUUUUAAAAGAUGGCUUUCUUAAAAAAGGAUACUCAGUUGCUCUUCUACUCAUACCAAGUCCUGCAGACACAUUCUGGGACUGCACCUUAUGAGUGCUGCUCACUCUGUUUCCUGCAGAAGACAUACAGAGCCGUUCGCAUAGAGUAGGGCCAUGAUUUUGAUUCAGCAAUUCUUCAAACCACUGAUGCUGGUUGACCAUUUGACUUUGUUUUUGAAGUAUUUUUUACAUACAGUGUACAGAACAUUUCCGCUGGAUAUUUGGAUACUGAACAGGAGUAACAAGAGGAACAGCUCCUACCUCCCCCCUGCCCCUUCCCUCACAAGCCUGUGAGUCAGGGCAGGGGCAGCCACUGAAAGUAGCAGAGGCCUUCAUAAAGGAGAACACUUCUCCAUGUUGCCAUCAUGUGAAGAAGGACAUGUUUGCUUCUGCUUCUGCCACGAGUGUUGAAGGCAAUGGUGAUGAAAGUAAAUAUUUAAAAACACUACCAUAGCUGUCCCAAAUUUCAGAAAAACAAGGUACCACUGGAACCAUUUAAUUUUGUUGGAACACAGAAUGACCAUCUUGUGAUCAGUUUUCUGCAUCUUUAAAAUACCUGGAAGGUCAUCUUUAAAUAGUACAAUCUGAUAAAAGUUUAAUACUUAGUGUAGACUUAUAUGAAUACUUCUACAUUCAUACAUUUUUGUAUACUUAUACAUUUUCAUACUCAAUUAAUGCUUAAUUCAAAAAAUAUCUGAGUACCUGCAGUGUUCCCCAUGCUACAUACUGGGCUUAAACAGCCAAAAAGACACAGUCUUUGACCUCAAAAUACUUUGAUUCUUGUAAGAAAAACUGACAAAGACAAAGAGAAGGCAAUGUGAAAACUUCUACAGUUGGGAUAACCUUGGAGGUUACAGGAUGUGGACUCACUGAAAGCUUUCUGCUGGACUUGAACUUGAAGCUGAAGUCUGAAGGACAGAUGGGUGUUGCUUAGCGAAGGGAAAGUAGGAAGCAAAGACCCCUGGACAGAGUGUAGCAGGCACAGAGGGAGCAUGACACCUUCGGGAGAGAGCCGCAAGCACCUGGGCCCAGAUCCCAGCUUUAGCUUCAUUAGCCCUGUGAACUCUGUAUGUCAGCCUUGACAUAGAAAAAAAGAGGAUACUAAACCUCCAUCUUAAAAGAGACUUGGAAGAAGCUGGGAUUAUAGGCACACCACCACACCUGGCCCCAGAAAAGGGAAUCCUUGACCUGCAAGAAUCGAGGAAUAUUGUUUCUGACAUGCUCAGUGGACCUACUGCUGGUGUUCUUAACCAUUUCCUUCCUAAGUGGAACUUCUUUUGAGUUGACAGAGUCUGUAGCAAGGAUGACUUGAUACUCACAAAGAAUCCCGGAGGACCAGGUGGGCCAACAGGCCCAGGAAAACCUGGAGGGCCUGGCAAACCCUUGAAAUUGAGAGAAGAAUAAGACCUCAGAUGAAAACAACCAGUUGAGCUCCAAGUUUUCUUUCUGUGGGAGAACUUUCCUUAAAAGACAAUUAGAAAGCAAGGAAUGCGAAGAAAGAAAAUGGGAAGUUUCCUGCCUCCAAAUUAUGCUGUUGGUUCUGGCCUAAAGGAAUGUUUUCAAGGGAAGCCUGUCUGCCUUUCAUUGCCAUUUCACCUUGAUUUAAUCAUUCAGCAAAGCAUUUAUUAAUCAUCUUCUGUGUGAAAAGUACUUACCUUAGAACCACUGCAUCCUGGUACACCGACAAGUCCGUAAGGCCCGGUAUUGCCUGGGGUGCCCUGGAAGAAGAACAAGUCUCAAUGAGGAGGGUCAUCCCAAGAAACAGCACUGAACCCAAGGGAAAAGAUGCACUGAUUUAAAUAGCUCUUGAAAUAUAAAUGAUUGUUUAAAUGGUUAAGUAGUAAAUGUACAUUGUGGUUUUACAUAUAAUUUCAGUAGCAACAAACUAAACAGGCUGACUGAUAUGAAGACUUAUCAAAUGAGAUGUGGAUAUUUCAAAUAAAGCAAAC
ensembl:lncRNA MFF-DT MFF divergent transcript